AGAGUUUGAUCCUGGCUCAGGAUGAACGCUAGCGGCAGGCCUAACACAUGCAAGUCGAGGGGUAGAGUAGCAAUACUUGAGACCGGCGCACGGGUGCGUAACGCGUAUGCAAUCUACCUUUUACAGGGGAAUAGCCCAGAGAAGUUUGGAUUAAUGCCCCAUGGUAUAAUCGAAUGGCAUCAUUUGAUUAUUAAAGUUCCAACGGUAAAAGAUGAGCAUGCGUCCUAUUAGCUAGAUGGUAAGGUAACGGCUUACCAUGGCAACGAUAGGUAGGGGUCCUGAGAGGGAGAUCCCCCACACUGGUACUGAGACACGGACCAGACUCCUACGGGAGGCAGCAGUGAGGAAUAUUGGACAAUGGGCGCAAGCCUGAUCCAGCCAUGCCGCGUGCAGGAAGAAGCAUCUAUGGUGUGUAAACUGCUUUUGUACGGGAAGAAACACCUCUACGUGUAGAGGCUUGACGGUCCGUAAGAAUAAAGAUCGGCUAACUCCGUGCCAGCAGCCGCGGUAAUACCGAGGAUCCAAGCGUUAUCCNGAAUCAUUGGGUUUAAAAGGUCCCUANGCNGGUUUGAUAAGUAAUGGUG
rnacentral:rRNA from 1 species